GAUCCUGGCUCAGGAUGAACGCUGGCGGCGUGCCUAACACAUGCAAGUCGAGCGAAGCGCUUUGCUUAGAUUCUUCGGAUGAAGAGGAUUGUGACUGAGCGGCGGACGGGUGAGGUAACGCGUGGGUAACCUGCCUCAUACAGGGGGAUAACAGUUAGAAAUGACUGCUAAUACCGCAUCAGACCACAGCACCGCAUGGUGCGGGGGUAAAAACUCCGGUGGUAUGAGAUGGACCCG
rnacentral:rRNA from 1 species